rnacentral:rRNA from 1 species
UGGGGAAUAUUGCACAAUGGAGGGAACUCUGAUGCAGCGACGCCGCGUGAACGAAGAAGGCUUUCGAGUCGUAAAGUUCUUUUAUAUGGGAAGAUAAUGACGGUACCAUAAGAAAAAGCACCGGCUAACUACGUGCCAGCAGCCGCGGUAAUACGUAGGGGGCUAGCGUUGUCCGGAAUCACUGGGCGUAAAGGGUUCGCAGGCGGAAAUGCAAGUCAGGUGUAAAAGGCAGUAGCUUAACUACUGUAAGCAUUUGAAACUGCAUAUCUUGAGAAGAGUAGAGGUAAGUGGAAUUUUUAGUGUAGCGGUGAAAUUCGUAGAUAUUAAAAAGAAUACCGGUGGCGAAGGCGACUUACUGGGCUCAUUCUGACGCUGAGGAACGAAAGCGUGGGUAGCAAACAGG